rnacentral:rRNA from 1 species
GGUUAACGGGGAGGAAGUGGGGAUGACGUCAAGUCAGUAUGUCCCUUACGUCCAGGGCUACACACGUGUUACAAUGGCCGGUACAAUGAGUUGCGACCCUGCAAAGGUAAGCCAAUCUCAAAAAACCGGUCUCAGUUCGGAUUGCAGUCUGCAACUCGACUGCAUGAAGUUGGAAUCGCUAGUAAUCGUAGAUCAGCACGCUACGGUGAAUACCGUUCCCGGGCCUU